rnacentral:rRNA from 1 species
GAUGAACGCUAGCGGCAGGCUUAAUACAUGCAAGUCGUGGGGCAGCAUGAGUAGCAAUACUUGAUGGCGACCGGCAAACGGGUGAGGAACACGUACACAACCUUCCUUCAAGCGGGGAAUAGCCCAGAGAAAUUUGGAUUAAUACCCCAUAAUAUAUUUGAUAAGGCAUCUUAUUAAUAUUAAAGCUUCGGCACUUGAUGAUGGGUGUGCGGCUGAUUAGAUAGUUGGCGGGUAACGGCCCACCAAGUCUACGAUCAGUAGCUGAUGUGAGAGCAUGAUCAGCCACACGGGCACUGAGACACGGGCCCGACUCCUACGGGAGGCAGCAGUAAGGAAUAUUGGACAAUGGACGAAAGUCUGAUCCAGCCAUGCCGCGUGAAGGAUUAAGGUCCUCUGGAUUGUAAACUUCUUUUAUAUGGGACGAAAAAGGGCAUUCUUGUUCACUUGACGGUACCAUAUGAAUAAGCACCGGCUAAACUCCGUGCCAG